AACGAACGCUGGCGGCAUGCCUAACACAUGCAAGUCGAACGAUGCUUUCGGGCAUAGUGGCGCACGGGUGCGUAACGCGUGGGAAUCUGCCCUUGGGUUCGGAAUAACAGUGAGAAAUUGCUGCUAAUACCGGAUGAUGUCUUCGGACCAAAGAUUUAUCGCCCAGGGAUGAGCCCGCGUAGGAUUAGCUAGUUGGUGGGGUAAUGGCCUACCAAGGCGACGAUCCUUAGCUGGUCUGAGAGGAUGAUCAGCCACACUGGGACUGAGACACGGCCCAG
rnacentral:rRNA from 1 species